AACGAACGCUGGCGGCAUGCCUAACACAUGCAAGUCGAACGAAGCCUUCGGGCUUAGUGGCGCACGGGUGCGUAACGCGUGGGAAUCUGCCCUUGGGUUCGGAAUAACAGUUAGAAAUGACUGCUAAUACCGGAUGAUGUCUUCGGACCAAAGAUUUAUCGCCCAAGGAUGAGCCCGCGUAGGAUUAGGUAGUUGGUGGGGUAAUGGCCCACCAAGCCGACGAUCCUUAGCUGGUCCGAGAGGAUGAUCAGCCACACUGGGACUGAGACACGGCCCAGACUCCUACGGGAGGCAGCAGUGGGGAAUAUUGGACAAGGGGCGAAAGCCUGAUCCAGCAAUGCCGCGUGAGUGAUGAAGGCCUUAGGGUUGUAAAGCUCUUUUACCAGGGAUGAUAAUGACAGUACCUGGAGAAUAAGCUCCGGCCAACUCCGUGCCAGCCGCCGCAGUAAAAC
rnacentral:rRNA from 1 species